rnacentral:rRNA from 1 species
GACGAACGCUGGCGGCGUGCUUAACACAUGCAAGUCGAGCGGUAAGGCCCUUUCGGGGGUACACGAGCGGCGAACGGGUGAGUAACACGUGGGUGACCUGCCCUCAGCUCUGGGAUAAGCCUGGGAAACCGGGUCUAAUACUGGAUAUGACUCCAUGACGCAUGUUGUGGGGUGGAAAGCCUUGUGCGGCUGAGGAUGGGCCCGCGGCCUAUCAGCUUGUUGGUGGGGUGANGGCCUACCAAGGCGACGACGGGUAGCCGGCCUGAGAGGGCGACCGGCCACACUGGGACUGAGACACGGCCCAGACUCUACGGGAGGCAGCAGUGGGGAAUAUUGGACAAUGGGGGCAACCCUGAUCCAGCGACGCCGCGUGGGUGAAGAAGGCCUGCGGG